CUCGACAAUGGUUAUAUACGCAAAUCCCUUAGUCCUUGUGCUGUUCCUAUUAUUCUAGUGCCGAAAAAGGAUGGUACAUCACGUAUGUGUGAUGAUUGUAGAGGCAUUAAUAAUAUUACUAUUCGUUAUCGUCAUCCUAUUCCUAGGCUCGAUGAUAUGCUUGAUGAAUUGAGUGGCUCUACAAUAUUCUCCAAAGUUGAUUUGCGUAGUGGAUACCAUCAAAUUCGUAUGAAAUUGGGAGAUGAAUGGAAAACAGCAUUUAAAACUAAGUUUGGAUUAUAUGAGUGGUUAGUCAUGCCUUUGGGGUUAACUAAUGCACCUAGU
rnacentral:rRNA from 1 species